rnacentral:rRNA from 1 species
CCUACGGGAGGCAGCAGUGGGGAAUAUUGCACAAUGGGGGGAACCCUGAUGCAGCAACGCCGCGUGGGUGAAGAAGUACUCCGGUAUGUAAAGCUCUAUCAGCAGGGAAGAAAAUGACGGUACCUGAGUAAGAAGCCCCGGCUAACUACGUGCCAGCAGCCGCGGUAAUACGUAGGGGGCAAGCGUUAUCCGGAUUUACUGGGUGUAAAGGGAGCGUAGACGGCAGUGCAAGUCUGGAGUGAAAGGCGGGGGCUCAACCCCCGGACUGCUCUGGAAACUGUACGGCUGGAGUGCAGGAGAGGUAAGUGGAAUUCCUAGUGUAGCGGUGAAAUGCGUAGAUAUUAGGAGGAACACCAGUGGCGAAGGCGGCUUACUGGACUGUAACUGACGUUGAGGCUCGAAAGCGUGGGGAGCAAACAGGAUUAGAUACCCGGGUAGUC